rnacentral:rRNA from 1 species
CCUACGGGGGACAGCAGUGGGGAAUAUUGCACAAUGGGGGAAACCCUGAUGCAGCGACGCCGCGUGCGUGAAGAAGUAUUUCGUUAUGUAAAGCUCUAUCAGCAGGGAAGAAAAUGACCGUACCUGAAUAAGAAGCCCCGGCCAACUACGUGCCAGCCGCCCCGGUAAUACGUAGGGGGCAAGCGUUAUCCGGAUUUACUGGGUGUAAGGGGAGCGUAGACGGCAGUGCAAGUCUGGAGUGAAAGGCGGGGGCUCAACCCCCGGACUGCUGUGGAAACUGUCCGGCUGGAGUGCAGGAGAGGCAAGUGGAAUUCCUAGUGUAGCGGUGAAAUGCGUAGAUAUUAGGAGGAACACCAGUGGCGAAGGCGGCUUACUGGACUGUAACUGACGCUGAGGCUCGAAAGCGUGGGGAGCAAACAGGAUUAGAUACCCCGGUAGUC